GCAUGGAAGGUCCGACCCCGCUCGCAUCGCCAUCCCCGCUCGGCUGCUCCUAGGAAGGAAGGGUGUCGUGCCCCACGCAUGGAAGGUCCGACCCCGCCCGCAUCGCUAUCCCCGCGCGCCAUCCCCGCUCGACUGCUCCAAGGAAGGAAGGGCAUCGUGUGGAGGACCCGCCCCGCUCUCUGCACCCUCGACGCCCCGCCAUCAUGGAAGGUCCGACCCCGCCAUCGCCAUCCCUGCGCGCCUGCCCAUCCCCGCAUCACGCCCGGGAGGUACGCAGCCCCGUCCACUAUUCCUCCGCCCCUGUCAUCCCAACACCCCGGCCCAAUCCACACCUUCUCCACGCUGCUAUAAAAACCCCCUGUGCCCGCCAUGCCCCCGCCUCGCCUUCCCCUCCAUGCAGACGCAUAGCCGCGGUGGUGCCGGCCGUCUCGGAGGCAGAAACUGCAAUGCACCCCUUGUGUUUGAAUAAUUGUCUGUGUCAUGUGCCAGAAGGAAGACCUAGGGUGCUAUAAAUGAGAUUAAUCAUUACAAAAAUAAUCAGUCGGAGAGCAUUUCAAUGAGAGGAGGUGCAUGCGAUAUUCGUAAUUCACCUUGUGUUUAUGUGAUUUCUCUCUGCAUAUUUCUUUCUAUAUAUCAUUGCAGAAUCAAAAUCAGUGGGAAACUGAGAAUCAAGAAAGGCAGGCAUUUCAGCUCUUUCUGUACCCAAGCAGUACAGUUCUAGCACUAAACAAUCAUCUGGGAACAAGUUUCAAAGCAUCAGCAGCGGAAGAGUUGCCCCAUGGCUUGAGACUGGUGAUGCAGUGGCAAGUAUGUACUUAGAAUCAAGGGGAGAGGCUCGUGAUUUUGCCAGGGUCCGGAAUACCUGCUUUGAGCAGGCUAGACAGGCUUACUUGGUUGGCAACAAGGCUCUUGCGAAGGAGCUCAGCAUGAAGGGGCAGGCCUACAAUGUGCAAAUGAAAGCGGCUCAUGAGAUAUAUCUUACAUAGAAACUUAGUGUGCCUUUAUUUAGAUAUGUAGUGCAUUUUAGUGAGUAUCAUAUGUUGAUCUGGUGUACUGUUACACGAUUAGUUGACAAUAGUUGCUCUCAUCUAAAACUGAAUAUGUUUUGUACUUCAACUUUCGUUAAAUAGAAAGCCUAGCCUUUUCUGAGAUUGUUUAUAGGUUACACUCCUCUUAUCUGAUUGGUUAGUGGUCACUUGUCAGGGGGUGGAGACUAAGGAUCCAAGCCACUAUCACGGACCACAACAUCAAGUGUAUGAGGCAGGGCAAAGAGGCCAACAGGUGCAGGUAACGGCAAAGAU